rnacentral:misc_RNA from 1 species
AAAAAAAAAAAGCAUGAAUCAAAGUUAUAAUACUUUUCCCCAAAUUUUACCCUCUAUAUCCACAUUUAUCUCCCCUUCAUGAGCAUCUUUUGUUCCAUUCCCACCUCAACUCAAUCUUUCAUAAUUCAUUGCGUGCUUCAACCACAAAUUAAAUUAAUCCACUUCAAGCCCCACAUCUCCUAAAACAUUCAAGUAAUAAUGGUAAAAAUCAUUAUGCCACAUACAGAGAAGAG